CAAAGAUUAAGCCAUGCAUGUCUAAGUACAAACUAUAUUAAAGUGAAACCGCGAAAGGCUCAUUAAAUCAGUUAUGGUUCCUUAGAUCGUACCACAAUUACUUGGAUAACUGUGGUAAUUCUAGAGCUAAUACAUGCAAACAGAGCUCUGACCGGAGACGGAAGGAGUGCUUUUAUUAGAUCAAAACCAAUCGGCGGCAGUAACAUUUCGGUGUUAUUGUUCGUCGCUCAAUAUAUGGUGAAUCUGAAUAACUUUAUGCUGAUCGCAUGGUCUUGUACCGGCGACGCAUCUUUCAAAUGUCUGCCUUAUCAACUGUCGAUGGUAGGAUCUGCGCCUACCAUGGUUGUAACGGGUAACGGGGAAUCAGGGUUCGAUUCCGGAGAGGGAGCCUGAGAAACGGCUACCACAUCCAAGGAAGGCAGCAGGCGCGCAAAUUACCCACUCCCGGCACGGGGAGGUAGUGACGAAAAAUAACGAUACGGGACUCAUCCGAGGCCCCGUAAUCGGAAUGAGUACACUUUAAAUCCUUUAACGAGGACCAAUUGGAGGGCAAGUCUGGUGCCAGCAGCCGCGGUAAUUCCAGCUCCAAUAGCGUAUAUUAAAGUUGUUGCGGUUAAAAAGCUCGUAGUUGAAUUUGUGUUCCGCACUGUCGGUUCACCGCCCGCGGUGCUAACUGGCAUGUUUGCGGAACGUCCUGCCGGUGGAUGUUCAGUAAAUAAUUUCGGUUAUUUACUACAUCCGACUUAUAAAUCCUGUCGCGGUGCUCUUAAUUGAGUGUCGAGGCGGGCCGGCACGUUUACUUUGAACAAAUUAGAGUGCUCAAAGCAGGCUAACUAAUGCCUGAAUAAUUAGUGCAUGGAAUAAUGAAACAGGACCUUGGUUCUAUUUUGUUGGUUUUCGGAACCCCAAGGUAAUGAUUAAUAGGGACAGAUGGGGGCAUUCGUAUUGCGACGUAGAGGUGAAAUUCUUGGAUCGUCGCAAG
rnacentral:rRNA from 1 species